CUUCAGGCCUCUGCUCAGUCAUGCAACAAGUUCAGUGAAGUUGGAGAUUCAUGAAAUUGGAGACUGAUUAUAUUCGUGAGUCUCUACCUGUGGCAUCCAUGAAGAACUUUGUUAUGCUUAACAAGUCAAAAAAUAUGCAACGUGGAUUAAUAUCAUUACGUACUACAAACUGUGAAGAGGAAUGGAUUGCAAACAGACAUUAGGAGAAGGACUUGGUGUUGCUGGCUGAUGAAAAGCUCAAUUAUGAGACAGUAAUAUGCAUUUCAGUAGAGAAAAAUGACUGUAUCCUGGGCUGAAUCAAAAGAAGUGUGAAGGACAGGCCAAAAGUGGUGAUUCUCCUCUUCAACUCUGCUCUUGUGAGAUCCCACCUACUGGAUUCAGCUUUGAGCCCCUGCAGAAGAAGGAAAUGGACCUACUGGAGUGAAACCAGAGGAAGAUCUCUACAGAAUUAAAGAAAUGAGAGAAGAUGUAGUGGCAAAAUGGUGUGCAACUGUCUGUCCCAAACUCUAUCACAACCCUGGAAGUGGAUAUACAAGACCUCAGUCUUCCUAUCCAUCUGUUAAAUGCAAAUAACUGAGAAAAUCCUACCCAGAAUGAAAGUCCUACUCAUUCCCCUUCUGUAUGGGAACUGCUGAAUCACGGCCUGAACCUCUGAUUGAUCAUCUGAGGCGAGCAAUGAGUCAGCCACAGAGCACAGGUGAAUUGCCUUCACCUGUGCUGAUGGAAGGGGUGAAGCCUGGCUGCACCUCUCCUAGACACAUUUAAGAGCUGAAUACCAGUGGGAAAGGGUCUUUUCUGGAGAUCCCUCCUCUGGAGUUUUGCAGCAAGCUCAGGAUACAGGUUGGCUUGUUGCCUGCUGUCUCAACCCCUUCGUUUUACUGCAUGAAAGAAGCAGACUCUGAAGUUCAUCCUGACUUUUCCUGUCCACAUAUAUCAGGAAGUGUGAGAUGACAGUCUUUUUUCUUUCUGCGUAUUUUCAAAGACGGCACAGAGCCUCUUCAACAUGAUAUAUCAGUAAUUUCAUGUCAACUGGUUCUCAUCCUGUCUUCCUCCUCCUCAACCGAAAGUCUGUCUAUCAAGGGUACCUUGUAUGUCUGCAGAGCACCUGCCUUUCGUUCCCCAUCAGAAAAAUGUAUUGGCUGUAUGAAUUUCUAGCUGACAGCAGUAUCAUCCCUGAGCUGUGAGAGCUGACAGCUCACAACAACAGCCAUGCUGUUCUGUCAGGCUUGAGGAUAACAUUAUCUCCAUGACAGCUAAUGAUGUCAUCCUAAUUGUUGUUGAUCCUCUUUCAGUCUUCUCACUGCUACCAUCUUCAACUUUUCCUCUCCAUCCUUCAGGUAGAUGCAGCCACUUCUCCCAUUUUUAUUCAGUCCAUCCUCUGGGUUCAGUUAUUCACUACUUGUCCAUUGUGAGCAAGGGCAGGAGGUGUCCACCUGUGGUCUCUGACCAGAUCACAGCAGACAGUACCCACCUGCUGCAGUGCUUCUCCAAGACCGCACAAAGUGCAGGUGACAAACUGCCCUUAGGCUCCUCAGCCACAGCUGAAUGUGUGGGACUGCUCAUCCUCCUCAAGCACAGACCUGUUCUUCAGAAGCAAACUUCAAAUCAUUGAAUCAUAAAGGUUGGAAAAGACUUCUAAAGCCAUCUAGUCCAACUGUGAACCCAUCCACACCAUGCCCGCUGACUAUGUCCCCCAGAGCCACAACUACACCAUUCUUGAACAUCUCCAGGGUUAGUGACUGCACAACCUCCCUAGGUAGCCUAUUCCAAUAUGUAAUCACUCUUUCUGAGAAGCAGUUUUUCCUAAUAUCCAAAUAAUAUCCUACAUCCUUAAGGGAUCCUCUCUUCAAACACUGCAAAUUCUAAAGCCCUAAAUCUGUUAGACUGCCCGCAGUUCCUCUGCUUUCAGGCAGGAGAGGUUGUUGGUGGGAGUGAUGAUGAUGUGCCGUGGCUGGGAAGACUCACCCAGCUGCUCUGCUGGAAGAGAUAUGCAACCUGCUGGUGGGUGUUGAGGAGCAAGGUGCAUGGUAUUGCCAGGACGUGUCUGUUAGAUCAGAUGUUUCUGGGAUGAGUUGUGCAAGAGCACGCUCAGUGGUCAGCAGAAGUCACGCGACACCAGCUGGAUGGAGACAUCCUGCCAGAACAAUGAAGCACAUGAAGGUUAGUGACUUUCUCAGGCCAGUGGCUGGGAGAUAUCCAAGGAAUGCAAUGGAAAUAUGACUCCGCUGGGAUGCUGCCAGUGACUUAGGAUCACAUGCCUACAUGAUGCUUAAUAUGCCAUGCAGUGCCUCUGGGCAUCCGAUGCCAAGCAAGAAGUUCAUCCCUGUUGCUGGGCUCUGCACCAUGUGGAAUUCAGAGCAGGGAGCUGCAGCAGGCUGAGCAGCUCAAGCCCAUCAACUGGGGCUCAACUGACAUGUUGUGCUUCCUUUCUCCUAACCUUCCUGCAAGAGAGACCGUCUGGGCUGCUAUCAGCUUUGUUAAAUGCAUCUUACCUGAGACUGACAGCACCCUCUUCCGUUCCUCCAGCAGUUCCUUUCCUAUCAUCAAAAGGCAGUGGGCGUGUUAUCAGGCAGCAGUUUUGCUAAAUCAUAAGAUUACCUCAACUCACAUUUUAGAAUGCAUAUUUUUAACCCUUGAAGCUCCAAAACCAAUUUUAACAAUUUGAAACACCUUAAUUUCAGCAUCAGAGUGAGUGACUUCCUCUCCUUCAAAUGUAUCCUGGAAAUCCAAAAUUUCUUUCCAGACUUGCAUUUUUGGCUGCCUGAGAGGUGCUUUUUGAAUGCUUGUGGGGGGAAAGGACAGCAAAGAAAUUUCAAUAGACAAUGGAUAACCUUUUCCAUGAUGAGGCUGUCCUGGAAAAAUGCUUGCAAACACAGAUAAUAAUUAAAUAUGGGGUAGGAGUAGCCUUUUGUUAGGCUGUGAAUGACAGGUUGUUCUCCUGAUGGCCCCAAGAUGCUCAGGAUCAUGGAACUGUGCUGUGUAGCAUGCAGAGACAUGAGGUUCCCAGGGAAAUGCUUCUAGUGGAAACUUUUGGACAGCUUUCCAUAAUUUAUUUUUUUUGCAACGUCAAGGUAUUAAAACAUAAAAUGAGCCAAAAAAGAU